AUCCAGCUGACGAGUCUUAAGUAGGACUAAACGCGCGUCAUGGAC
rfam:Schistosoma rodhaini strain Burundi genome assembly, scaffold: SROB_scaffold0009025